rnacentral:lncRNA from 1 species
UUCUCACAAUGAAUCUGAGUAGUAGAUAUAGCAUGCCCAUUUUCCAGGUAAGGAAACUGAGGGUUAGAGAGAUUCUGUAACUUGUGCAAGGUUAUAGGCUCUAAGUAGCAGAUUAGUUCUGACUGGAGGCCAGCGUUUCCUCGGGCCUCUGUGACAUCACAACGCAAUGGGAGUAUGACUUGGGCAGCUCCAGCUGGCUCCUCUGCUAGUCUUGCCGCAGUCACCAGUUUUGGAGGAAUGGGAGAGGAGCUUUCCACUCCUCUGAGAGUCAUGUCGAGAGUCUGUCUUAGCCCUCGACCCCUCAGUCUUUGUAGAUCUCAUCCCAGAACCCCGAGGGAGAGGUAAUUGCUGAAGGAUUUUUGCUUCAAACAGGCUCUUGUUUGCAUCAAGUGUGGGGUGCAGCAAAGUGGACUCGGGACUGGCCGAUGUCUGGCCAGAAAUGCCAGGCAAGGGAAACAGUGACUCUAGUGGGGUCAGGAGAGGGGCAUCUGCUGGCCCAGGAGCGCAAGGCAGAGGGGAGAAGUUCUGGUCUCUCCUCGGUGCUGCGGCUGCCCCGGGAAGAGUUUCCAGGAGCUGACAAGCAUUCAGAUGAGUAAAGAUGGGAUCGGAUUGAGAAAAGGAGAAGGGAGAGCAUAUUCGUUCUCUUUCCACCUCCCUCCCACAGCCUUUCAUGCUGAUCUCAUCUGACGAAGCUGCCUCCUCCUCCCUGGACUCUACAAGCCCCUGUCAUGAUGUUUCUCAGAUCCUGAAUUCCAGCGAAACAGAUGAUACUAACAAGUUUGAAGACCCCCACAGAGGAAUGGAAUCAGUAUGAGAACACAGUUUCUUCAUCUCCCUGUCCCAGAACUUCACCCUGGACUCCUCGACCAAUCAACAAUCUCCACACUUCGGCCCACUCCAAAACUCCUAAAAUCCCAAGCUCCAAACUCCUCUGGGAGAUGGAUUUGAGGCUUCCUCCCGUUUCCUUGUGUGGAAGCCCUGUCAUUAAACCUCUUUCUCUGCUGCAACCUGAUG